rnacentral:rRNA from 1 species
UACGUAGGGGCAAGGCGUUGUCCGGAUUUAUUGGGCGUAAAGAGCGUGUAGGCGGUUAUACAGGUCCGCUGUGAAAACUGGAGGCUUAACCUCCAGACGUCGGUGGAAACCGUAUAACUAGAGUCCGGAAGAGGAGAGUGGAAGUUCCUGGUGUAGCGGUGAAUGACGCAGAUAUCAGGAAGAACACCAGUGGCGAAGGCGGCUCACUGGUCCGGUACUGACGCUGAGGUGCGAAAGCGUGGGGAGCAAACAGG